rnacentral:hammerhead_ribozyme from 1 species
AUUCAGCUGGUGAGUCCCAUGAAGGACGAAAUGCACGUCCUGGAU